AAGAAUGAUUUAACAAAAUUUAUUUGGUUUUCGUAACUGAGUUUUUUUUUUAAGAUUUUUUGUUUAUUUAUAAAUUUAAAAAAGUUUGCAUUUUUAGCCACAAUUGAGAAAUUUGUGUCCAUAUUGUUAUAAAAUAAUCUGGAAUAUAAGCGGAUAUUGAGCUGCACGUAAAAUAGAUGAGACACAGCUUUUAACGAGGUUCGGCUAUGCCUACGUCCUCGGAGAGCAGCAGCAGUAACCUUUCACUAUAAAAUGAUAUGGCUACAACUUUAGGGUUUACAACAUAUGUGGCUCACUGAAUUUUCUCUCUAGGAGAAUUUCUCUCUAGGAGAAUUUCUCUCUGC
rnacentral:lncRNA from 1 species